UAUUAUAUGGUUCAGUAUGAAAAGAUAUUGAAGUUUAUCUCGAAUGCUAAGAGUGAGGGUGCAACCAUUUUGACCGGUGGGUCUCACCCGGAGCAUCUAAAGAAGGGAUUCUUUGUUGAACCAACUGUCAUAACUGACGUGACUACCUCCAUGCAAAUUUGGAGAGAAGAAGUAUCUGGACCUGUUCUGUGUAAAAACAUUUAGCACUGAAGAAGAAGCCAUUGAUCUAGCAAACGACACUGUGUGAGUUGAUGGUUUUCUGUGAACUGACAUUAACUUCCUCUGUUUUUAAGGCUGGGAUUGUGUGGAUUAAUUGCUCUAAACCGUGCUUCACUCAAGCACCAUGGGGAGGCAUUAAACGCAGUGGUUUUGGUCGUGAAUUAGGAGAAUGGUAUGGUCCUUAUUUCCUAAAUUAACAAAUGCAAGUAACCUCAGAUACCUUUCUUUUCUUUUCCUGGAUAUAAUGUCUAACAUGCAAAAGAAACCUACAUUUAUAAGUUGAAGUCAUGGAUUGUUGAAUGCUCAAGUACCGCUCAACUGUUGACAGUUUGUUGACCAUCAGAUUUUGUACAACCAAAUUCAAUCAAGGGUCGAUAAAGCUGUGUAAGUUGUAACAUCGUGGCACUGGUGCAGCCUUUGCACUUUUUAAUUGGAGUCAUUUUAAAUCAUAGGGAUUGUGAUGUAUUGACACAUUUAAAUUAAUAAUCUUAAUAUAAAAAAAAAUCACCUACGGUUUGAGUGAUUUAUCCUAAUUUGGCAUGUUCCUCUGCAACCACACCUGUGAAGCCAUGAAGCCAUCACACGACCCAUUCUUCAUUCCAACGAAAAAUAGUUUGGACAAAAGCUAGCAGUGCCAUCGGAGGUGGCGGCAUUCAACGGGAAUGUGAGCGGUGGGAUAUUUGAUGAGUAGUGUAGUCAUAAUGAGCGGUGGCGGAGGAAAAGGAGUGUGUGCAGCGGAAGAAAGAGUGUGACGGUGGCAAAGAUUUGUUAGACUUGCUGUGGAGUUUUCUAUCGGGGUCAUCAGAGGUGGCAAUGUUUACAGAGGCUAUUUCAUCUCGAGGCAGCAGAGGAGGAAUGCGACAAUGGCAAAGAGGGUAAGUGAAGAGUGUGUGCGGCGUCGUGAAGAGGAGAAUGACCACAAAAAAGAAAAAGAAAGAUUGUGAGUAAAACAUAAAAUUUAUAUUACUAGAAUUUCCAAAAAUACUAAAUCCGUUUUCUGAAUUUGAAAAUAAAAAUAUCAAAUCAAACUUAUUUUCUCUCCUAUUUUCUAUUUUCUUUGAAAAUGAAAAUAGAAAAUGCACAAGCCAAGCACCAUGAAGUUUU